GGGAUUGUAGUUCAAUUGGUCAGUGCAAUGCCUUUGCAAGGCAGAAGCUGCGGGUUCAAGCCCCGUCAAUCCCA
rfam:Vitis vinifera, whole genome shotgun sequence of line PN40024, unoriented chromosome 9, chr9